rnacentral:rRNA from 1 species
UAGGGAAUCUUCGGCAAUGGACGAAAGUCUGACCGAGCAACGCCGCGUGAGUGAAGAAGGCUUUCGGAUCGUAAAACUCUGUUGUUAGAGAAGAACAAGGACGUUAGUAACUGAACGCCCCCUGACGGUACCUAACCAGAAAGCCACGGCUAACUACGUGCCAGCAGCCGCGGUAAUACGUAGGUGGCAAGCGUUGUUCGGAUUUAUUGGGCGUAAAGCGAGCGCAGGCGGUUUCUUAAGUCUGAUGUGAAAGCCCCCGGCUUAACCGGGGAAGGUCGUUGGGAACUGGAAGACUUGAGUGCGGAAGAGGGGAGUGGAAUUCCAUGUGUAGCGGUGAAAUGCGUAGAUAUAUGGAGGAACACCAGUGGCGAAGGCGGCUCUCUGGUCUGUAACUGACGCUGAGGCUCGAAAGCGUGGGGAGCAAACAGG